rnacentral:rRNA from 1 species
UACGGAGGAUCCAAGCGUUAUCCGGAAUCAUUGGGUUUAAAGGGUCCGUAGGCGGUUUGGUAAGUCAGUGGUGAAAGCCCAUCGCUCAACGGUGGAACGGCCAUUGAUACUGCCAGACUUGAAUUAUUAGGAAGUAACUAGAAUAUGUAAUGUAGCGGUGAAAUGCUUAGAGAUUACAUGGAAUACCAAUUGCGAAGGCAGGUUACUACUAAUGGAUUGACGCUGAUGGACGAAAGCGUGGGUAGCGAACAGG